rnacentral:lncRNA from 1 species
CUUAACCAAUUUGGAUUCAUCAACAAUACAAAUAAAUUUCUUACAAGUCCCUUCCACCAUUUUCUCUCUUAACAGGGACCCACCUCUGCCUUUGACGAGAUUAAGCUGUGGGUCCACUUCAUCGGCGCCGUCGAUUGCUAAAUCGAUGGUGGAAUGGUGGUCGAGAUCCGAGAGCGGGAUGCCUAAAGAAACAGCUUGCUCUUGCGUUUUCUUGGAGGUGGGAAUUCCUACGAUGUUUUUGAGCUUGCCGAGGCGAAGCAACUCACCGAUGCGAUCCACGGCGUGUUUGGCUGUCGAACCAGUGCCUAGACCCAGAACCAUUCCUGAUUCAACGAACUCAACGGCUUUGUAUGCGGCAAUUUUUUUC